AAGAGUGGUUUUUCCUUUGUCAAAAACGAUCAACGGUUACUGAUUUGUUUGACAAAAAACGCAGUCCUAAAUAAAGCAUGCAUGGCUUACUGAUAUGAACUUCAACUUUAGGAUGGAAGCUAAAACGUUUUAUUUUCAGAAAUAGGCCAUUCCAUUCCAACACACACAAUGUAGGCUAAUUAAAGUGCAUUAUGGGGUAGGCCUGGCCUACCAUGCAACAUAACAAAGGUAUUAGUAAACCUGACAGGGCGGAUUCCCAUGCUUGUUUGAAGGUUUAGUCAGAAACGAAACCUAGAAACCCAACAACAACGACAACCAGGCGCUCAACUUCCGUGAUGAGCACCUGACGCAUUACCGAGGGUGGACCUUUACCAUUAACGAAUAGGCUACUGUCCGGAGGACCCCUGCAGAGAAAGCUAUGCGACCAUGAGCAACUUAAUGUUAAGGUAUUAGUAGGGUAUGAGUAGCAGAGAGACGAAAGCGUGACAAGCCAGGAAUAUCUUGGAAAUUACAUUUUAUUUAUAAUCAUAUUUAUUUUUUAAUCAACGUUUCGUUUUCGAGAGGACUUCAUGGAUUGGUGGACUUCAUUGGCACUGGCUAUUGCCUUGCUCUGGCUCCUGUGUUUUAUAGACGGCCACGCGGUUGCAAGAGCUGCGGCUGCUCUUUAAGGCGCUAACCAAGCUGGCAGGAAACCUCUACUUGGUGCUCCUCCCGCCUGCGCCGAGGCGUGCGUCACUUCACCAACUGCAUGAUCUUCUGCAUCAGCCACGGCGAGAAGCCGUGGCCAGCUCGGCGGGACGAUCAUUGUAAACACUUCAUAGAAGCGAUUUGCGUUCUGUGCGAAAUGAUUCUCAAUCUGAUGUGCGUAGCGCUCAGCUUUGGGCGAGGCACUGUGCCACAGCAUACAGGUGGGCUCUUUUACGUGCUGGCUGCCAUGCUACGCACCAUUCAGCUGAAUCUGAAUCGCAGAUGAAGGCAGAGGAAGAGAGUUUGGACAGAGUUUGGCCAAUGCGCAAACGCAACUGAGACAAAUAUGAAUGCCGAAGUGCUGGAGUAGGCCUACUAGGCUGCUCUGCGCAUCAAAGUUGGGCGUGUCUAUAGAUAACCAUACUUCCAUAAAUUGUAGCAUGGUAUCCUCUAUAAGGGAUACAUAAUAAUGCUUUAUAUAGGCUGACUGGCUUAUAUAGGGCUGACUGGCACUAAAGGGCAUUUGUGAAGUCGAUAAAUGGUUAUAACUUGAAUUGAAGACAGCUUUUUAACCUGGGACGAAGAACAAAAAGUUUGAAAAACACGUUUUGUGAAGUGUAUAAGCCUGCAAUCGAGGUAAAUUACAUUUUAUUUCAUUCUUUGUAACGUACAGUCUCUACGCCAUUCAGAGAUCAAAAUAAAUCUCUCAAACUACUAUUCUAAUGUUAAGCUAAUGUCUAAUGUCUAGUGUUUUUAAAUGUAAUAAAGUUUUGCGGAUCCUUUAGAUUGUCACAUAAUUGCACAAAUCCUAAUUCCAGCAGUCCUUUAAUUUAUGAAAGGACUUGAAUAUGUUUUUCCUAUGAAGUCAAAGAUCAAGCUGCCUAUGAAGGACCUAGUUGACCUAGUUAAUACACAAUUUAACUAUUUAAGGUAAAAAAAGUCAUACUAAAAUCGUAACAAAGUAAGGCAUGGGGGUAGUUACGUAGGGCCAAUGACUGCUGCUGUCAAAUGUGUUUGGUAGAGCUUAUCACCUGUAGUGGUCAUCAUUUAGGACCACAUGCGAUAAGUAUGCCAACACCAAAGUCUGUCUCUCUCUCUUUAUCUCUGACUAGCUUAUGGUCUGUAUGUUUGUUCGGAGUGCUGUUUGUGCGCAAAGGGGUGAUGCUGGUUGCAGAGGGUCUAGAUAUUUUGGUUUUUCUCCUUUGUGUAAGGAUAAGGAUGUCCCCCCUGGAAAAUUGUAGCUACAAAGUAUUAAUUUUCCCUGAAAAAACAUUAAGUGGAUUUUUGUCCUGCAAGGGGCUUUCUUCUUUUUCAUCACUCUGCCUCACUGUUCCAACCUUCAUCUUGAUUUCCACUGUCCCUGGUCAAGCGCUGGUUAUGCUGACAAUUUACGUUUAUUUAACUGUCUAAUUCUGUCUCUUUUCCUUGUUAGACGAGUGCUGCAGGCAGCGUAAUCUCCAGUCAUUGAAAUGCAUGUUUAUUUUGUUUUGUUAAUGCAAUGUUUUCUAUCGCUGCAUUGUGGUGAUUCAUGUGGACACCCCUGAAACCACCCAGCUUGCAUGUUUGAAUCAAUAUCUGUGUACAAUCAUCUGAGCUGUUGUGUUAUUUUAAGCUAUGUAAAAGAUGAUAUUCUUUUAUAAAAGUAAUAUGAAGCGAACGCAAA